rnacentral:rRNA from 1 species
AUGGAUAGAGUCGAUGUAGAUUCAAGUAUAAUAAAUCUUGAGCGCCUAGGGGUUAUUGAACUAUGUGACAAGAACAUGAAUUAUGUGUUUAGCAUCCCAUGUGGCGAUUCAACCAUAGAAGGCGAAGGAGUCGAGCCGUCAGCAGCUUGCAUUGAGUAUACCCGUGUGCCAGCAUCGUUUACUGACGGAGGCACCCGCAGCCUGAAAGCUGCAGAGGCAUACUUAAGCAGAUGCAUAACAGAAUCAUCUACUCAAUUAGAGCAGGACUGCUUCAAAAUUGCUUUUGUUAUAAGAACAUGA